rnacentral:rRNA from 1 species
UACGGGGGGAGCAAGCGUUGUUCGGAUUUACUGGGCGUAAAGGGCGCGUAGGCGGUCAGCACAAGUCAGUUGUGAAAUCUCCGAGCUUAACUCGGAAAGGUCAACUGAUACUGUGCGACUAGAGUGCGGAAGGGGCAACUGGAAUUCUUGGUGUAGCGGUGAAAUGCGUAGAUAUCAAGAGGAACACCUGCGGCGAAGGCGGGUUGCUGAGCCGACACUGACGCUGAGGCGCGAAAGCCAGGGGAGCGAACGGG